GAUGAACGCUGGCGGCGUGCCUAAUACAUGCAAGUCGAGCGAACAGACGAGGAGCUUGCUCCGCUGACGUUAGCGGCGGAGGGGUGAGUAACACGUGGAUAACCUACCUAUAAGACUGGGAUAACUUCGGGAAACCGGAGCUAAUACCGGAUAAUAUGUUGAACCGCAUGGGUCAGUAGGGAAGGACGGUUUUGCUGUGGCUUAUAGAUGGGGCCGCGCCGCAUUAGCUAGUGGGUAAGGUAACGGCUUACCAAGGCAACGAUGCGUAGCCGACCUGAGAGGGUGAUCGGCCACACUGUAACUGAGACACGGUCCAGACUCCUACGGGAGGCAGCAGUAGGGAAUCUUCCGCAAUGGGCGAAAGCUUGACGGAGCAACGCCGCGUGAGUGAUGAAGGUCUUCGGAUCUUAAAACUCUGUUAUUCGUGAAGAACAAAUGUGUAAGUAACUAUGCACGUCUUGACGGUACCUAAUCAGAAAGCCACGGCUAACUACGUG
rnacentral:rRNA from 1 species